rnacentral:lncRNA from 1 species
GGCGCGGACUCAGUGUGCUGGUGGUGCACAGACUUAUUCUUCCCCUUCCCCUUCCCCUUGCCCUUCUUCUUCCUGGACUGUCCAGGAGCCUUUGGCGGAAGCGAGGGAGGCGGUGUGACCAUCUCCGGCGUGCGCGGCUCCUCCUCAUACUCCUCCCUGUGGCGGCACAACCGCUUGCGGAGGGGGCGACGAGGGAGGGCGCGGUGGCGAGGCAGGAACGUACUUCUCGUCUUCCGGCUCGGGGAUGAUCUCGUCGUCCUCGGGGGCAAUGGACGCCAUCCCCUCUUCCAUGGAGAAGAAAUAAUCCCACGUGUCAACCCCGGUCUUGGGGUCAAUCGGGGGCGGGGGCGGGGGCGGGGGAGGCGGUGGUGGCUGGGGGGGUGACCGGCGUCUCCGGAGGCGGCGGCGAGACGGGCGGCGCCUGCUGGCGAUGGCGCAGCCUCCGGCGGCGGUCAUCGAGACGGGCAUCGUCCUCCUCGUC